rnacentral:lncRNA from 1 species
AUGUUGGGGUUGCAAGGCUACGCGUGUUGGAUUUGCCGCACUUCCAUGGAAGGUUCAUUAAUGGUGAAUGAAGACCUUCACAGGAAGAAAUUGGCUGAGAGGAGCUGCCUGUGCUUCAGCUCUGAUAGGGAAUGCAGCAGGCCAGCACCCAGCUCCCACUCCACUUCCAGAGCUUCAUGGCAUUACUCCAAUUCCAUCCAUGGAAUGUGGACACAUUUCCAACCUUCUCCUGAAAUCUGCCUUUUGGUUCUUCCCUGACAUCUGUACUUGGCUUGAGAACGUGGGGUGAUGAACAAAACUCCUGUUCUGUCGCCAGGGAGUGCCUGCCUCACAUUCGCAUUGACUGGGGCACACAUUAGUGCUCAUCCCUCCUCUGGAUCUGAUACAAAAUCAUCUGGCCUUUUGUGCCAGUGCAACCUAGGACUUCCUUCCAUUCAUCAUUAAGAUCCGCAAAUACAGUUUGCACUCAGACUCUGAUCCAAACCUAUGCAGUUUAAAGGCCAGUGCAUGAAUCUUUCUCCCAGACUUGUGUUUUCUUUCUCUUCACUAGCUGCUGUAGCAAUUCAUAGGGCACAGAUUAUGAGUUUGGUUACAGGAUUGCAGAGAGGAAAAAGUAACUGCGUGAUCAACAAGAAAUUAUAACUUUGGUGCUGUGGAAUCAGCAGGCAGCACUGCUGUAUGGCUUAAAAAUAGCUGUCCUUGUUCCAUGUCCUUUUUCACUCGCGGCAAUAGUUUUUAGAUGCUUCUAAUCACUCAAUUUGCUUUCCUGUGGGCUGGCAGGGGCACCAGCUACAGUAAAAAAUAGUCUUUUCACUGGAAUAUAUCUUUUCAGAAGGACAAGAUUGUUCUUCUUGUCUCUUCAAAAAAGUCUCUGGGAAAGGGAAAUGUUUGCUAAAAUUCUCUUUAGAGUUACUGCAUAUUUGAUGCGUUUGUAUUGGCUUAUGGUGCUGCAGGCUUGGAGCAUCAAAGCCCCUCUGCAUUGAAGCCUCCCCACUUCGUCUCGUUAGGAAAAAGGCUGGUCAUUAGCAUAAGCUUUCUGCUUUCAGUUUUCAUGAAAAUUUCACUGAAAUGGCUCAAUCCACAUUAUAGAGAUCUGCAAUGUCCUGAUUCACCAAAAUAAUCCAUCCUUUCAACUGUCGUGGUUCCUUACCUGCUGCUCAUCGUGUCAUGAAGGUAAGUGCUCAGCUCUGUGAUGACUGUCCAAGAACUUGUGGUCAAGUACCGUAUGAUUUAGGGCUGAAUACUAUCAGAGCUCAGU